rnacentral:rRNA from 1 species
AACGUGGAUUAAUAUCGUAUAGUACUAUAUACCUGCCUAGGUCAAUAGUUAAAACUUCGGUGGUAUAAGAUGGGCAUGCGUCUGAUUAGGUAGUUGGUAGGGUAACGGCCUACCAAGCCAUCGAUCAGUAGGGGUUCUGAGAGGAUUAUCCCCCACACUGGUACUGAGACACGGACCAGACUCCUACGGGAGGCAGCAGUGAGGAAUAUUGGUCAAUGGGCGCAAGCCUGAACCAGCCAUCCCGCGUGCAGGAUGACGGCCCUAUGGGUUGUAAACUGCUUUUAUAUACCAAGAAAUCCAACUACGUGUAGUUGGCUGACGGUAGUAUAUGAAUAAGGACCGGCUAACUCCGUGCCAGCAGCCGCGGUAAUACGGAGGGUCCAAGCGUUAUCCGGAUUCAUUGGGUUUAAAGGGUGCGCAGGCGGGCUUGUAAGUCAGUGGUGAAAUACUGCCGCUUAACGGUAGAACUGCCAUUGAUACUGCGAGUCUUGAAUAUGGUUGAGGUAGGCGGAAUGUGUUGUGUAGCGGUGAAAUGCAUAGAUAUGACACAGAACGCCGAUUGCGAAGGCAGCUUACUAAGCCAUUAUUGACGCUGAGGCACGAAAGCGUGGGGAGCGAACAGGAUUAGAUACCCUGGUAGUCCACGCCGUAAACGAUGUUCACUCGCUGUCUGCGAUACACAGUAGGCGGCUUAGCGAAAGCAUUAAGGAACCACCU